rnacentral:rRNA from 1 species
GCGACAGGACGGAAAGACCCCAUGGAGCUUUACUGUAGCUUGACAUUGGGUCUUGGUACUACAUGUACAGGAUAGGUGGGAGGCUUUGAAACCAGGACGCCAGUUUUGGCGGAGCCAUCCUUGGGAUACCACCCUUGUAGUACUGGGACUCUAACCAUAGGCCAUGAAUCUGGUCUUGGGACACUGUCAGGUGGGCAGUUUGACUGGGGCGGUCGCCUCCCAAAAGGUAACGGAGGCGCUCAAAGGUUCUCUCAGUACGGUCGGAAAUCGUACGUAGAGUGUAAAGGCAAAAGAGAGCUUGAUUGCAAGACAUACAGGUCGAGCAAGGAUGAAAAUCGGACUUAGUGAUCCGGUGGUUCUGCGUGGAAGGGCCAUCGCUCAACGGAUAAAAGCUACCCUGGGGAUAACAGGCUUAUCUCCCCCAAGAGUCCACAUCGACGGGGAGGUUUGGCACCUCGAUGUCGGCUCAUCACAUCCUGGGGCUGUAGUAGGUCCCAAGGGUUGGGCUGUUCGCCCAUUAAAGUGGUACGCGGGCUGGGUUCAGAACGUCGUGAGACAGUUCGGUCCCUAUCCGUCGCAGGCGUAGGAAAUUUGAGAAGACCUGUCCUUAGUACGAGAGGACCGGGAUGGACGUACCUCUGGUGUACCAGUUGUCCUGCCAAGGGCAUGGCUGGGUAGCUAUGUACGGAAUGGAUAAGCGCUGAAAGCAUCUAAGCGCGAAGCCAACUUCAAGAUAAGAUUUCCCACCGCAAGGGUAAGACCCCAGAAAGACUAUCUGGUUG